UCCCUUCCGCAUCAGCGACACCCAAAGAAGGGAAGAGCACCCCAGCAUCCCUCCUCCUCCGCGAUUCCUCCCAGCGCCCGGAUCUCGUCCGUGAUCGACUCCUAUCCGCGUCCUCACCGCGUCUGCCGAAUCCCUUCCGCAUCAGGCGUCCGUCCGCGGCUAUAAAAGGAGAAGGAGGAAGAGAAGAGAGGUGUGCUCGGUU
rnacentral:lncRNA from 1 species